GUGCUGCCUUCAGCAGCACAUACACUAAAAUUGGAAUGAUACAGAGAUUAGCAUAGCCCCUGUGCAAGUUAGACAUGCACAUUUGUAAAGUGUUCCACAUUUUG
rnacentral:snRNA from 1 species